CCUGGCUCAGAUUGAACGCUGGCGGCAUGCCUAACACAUGCAAGUCGAACGGCAGCGCGGUCUAGUUUACUAGAUGGGUGGCGAGUGGCGGACGGGUGAGUAAUGCGCAGGAAUAUGCCUUAAAGUGGGGGACAACUUGGGGAAACUCAAGCUAAUACCGCGUAAUCUCUUCGGAGAAAAGCUGGGGACCUUCGGGCCUGGCGCUUUAAGAUUAGCCU
rnacentral:rRNA from 1 species